rnacentral:rRNA from 1 species
GGGAAACCCAGUGUGAUUCGUCACACUAUCAUUAACUGAAUCCAUAGGUUAAUGAGGCGAACCGGGGGAACUGAAACAUCUAAGUACCCCGAGGAAAAGAAAUCAACCGAGAUUCCCCCAGUAGCGGCGAGCGAACGGGGAGGAGCCCAGAGCCUGAAUCAGCAUGUGUGUUAGUGGAAGCGUCUGGAAAGGCGCGCGAUACAGGGUGACAGCCCCGUACACAAAAGCGCAUGUGUUGUGAGCUCGAUGAGUAGGGCGGGACACGUGGUAUCCUGUCUGAAUAUGGGGGGACCAUCCUCCAAGGCUAAAUACUCCUGACUGACCGAUAGUGAACCAGUACCGUGAGGGAAAGGCGAAAAGAACCCCGGCGAGGGGAGUGAAAAAGAACCUGAAACCGUGUACGUACAAGCAGUGGGAGCACAGGUUUACCUGUGUGACUGCGUACCUUUUGUAUAAUGGGUCAGCGACUUAUAUUCUGUAGCAAGGUUAACCGUAUAGGGGAGCCGGAGGGAAACCGAGUCUUAAUUGGGCGUUAAGUUGCAGGGUAUAGACCCGAAACCCGGUGAUCUAGCCAUGGGCAGGUUGAAGGUUGGGUAACACUAACUGGAGGACCGAACCGACUAAUGUUGAAAAAUUAGCGGAUGACCUGUGGCUGGGGGUGAAAGGCCAAUCAAACCGGGAGAUAGCUGGUUCUCCCCGAAAGCUAUUUAGGUAGCGCCUCGUGAACUCAUCUCCGGGGGUAGAGCACUGUUUCGGCUAGGGGGCCAUCCCGGCUUACCAACCCGAUGCAAACUGCGAAUACCGGAGAAUGUUAUCACGGGAGACACACGGCGGGUGCUAACGUCCGUCGUGAAGAGGGAAACAACCCAGACCGCCAGCUAAGGUCCCAAAGUCAUGGUUAAGUGGGAAACGAUGUGGGAAGGCCCAGACAGCCAGGAUGUUGGCUUAGAAGCAGCCAUCAUUUAAAGAAAGCGUAAUAGCUCACUGGUCGAGUCGGCCUGCGCGGAAGAUGUAACGGGGCUAAACCAUGCACCGAAGCUGCGGCAGCGAACGUAUCACCCAAGACAACUUUGCGGAGUUGACGAUUGACGGAGCGAAGCGACGUCAAAGCGUUCAUUAAAGUCGAGUUGGCUUAGGGAUACGUUCGUUGGGUAGGGGAGCGUUCUGUAAGCCAGUGAAGGUGUGUCGUGAGGCAUGCUGGAGGUAUCAGAAGUGCGAAUGCUGACAUAAGUAACGAUAAAGCGGGUGAAAAGCCCGCUCGCCGGAAGACCAAGGGUUCCUGUCCAACGUUAAUCGGGGCAGGGUGAGUCGACCCCUAAGGCGAGGCCGAAAGGCGUAGUCGAUGGGAAACGGGUUAAUAUUCCCGUACUUGGUGUUACUGCGAAGGGGGGACGGAGAAGGCUAUGUUGGCCGGGCGACGGUUGUCCCGGUUUAAGCGUGUAGGUGUGUGUUCCAGGUAAAUCCGGUU